UACGAAGGGGGCUAGCGUUGCUCGGAAUCACUGGGCGUAAAGGGUGCGUAGGCGGGUCUUUAAGUCAGGGGUGAAAUCCUGGAGCUCAACUCCAGAACUGCCUUUGAUACUGAAGAUCUUGAGUUCGGGAGAGGUGAGUGGAACUGCGAGUGUAGAGGUGAAAUUCGUAGAUAUUCGCAAGAACACCAGUGGCGAAGGCGGCUCACUGGUCCGAGUACUGACGCUGAGGCACGAAAGCGUGGGGAGCAAACAGGG
rnacentral:rRNA from 1 species